UAGGGAAUAUUGGUCAAUGGGUGAGAGCCUGAACCAGCCAUGCCGCGUGCAGGAAGAAGGCCUUCUGGGUUGUAAACUGCUUUUGCCGGGGGAUAAAAUGGCUUUGCGAAGCUAAUUGAAGGUACCCGGUGAAUAAGCCACGGCUAACUACGUGCCAGCAGCCGCGGUAAUACGUAGGUGGCAAGCGUUGUCCGGAUUUAUUGGGUUUAAAGGGUGCGUAGGCGGUUCUUUAAGUCAGUGGUGAAAUACAGCCGCUUAACGGUUGAGGUGCCAUUGAUACUGAAGAACUUGAGUACAGACGAGGUAGGCGGAAUUGACGGUGUAGCGGUGAAAUGCAUAGAUAUCGUCAAGAACACCGAUAGCGAAGGCAGCUUACCAAGCUGUAACUGACACUGAGGCACGAAAGUGUGGGGAUCAAACAGGAUUAGAUACCCAGGUAGUCCCUGAGCGGGCUGGCAAGGCGCAU
rnacentral:rRNA from 1 species